GCCUUUGACCAAAUCACACAAAAUGUACCCGAUCUCACCAGGUCUCAGACUCAAAGCAGGGUUGAGCCUGGAUUGUGUUUGGAUGGGCGACAACCGUGCAUAACGCGGGUGUUAAUGGCU
rnacentral:rRNA from 1 species